UCGAGGGGUAUAGUAGCAAUACUAGAGACCGGCGCACGGGUGCGUAACGCGUAUGCAAUCUACCUUUUACAGAGGGAUAGCCCAGAGAAAUUUGGAUUAAUACCUCAUAGUAUAUUUGAGUGGCAUCGCUUGAUUAUUAAAGUUCCAACGGUAAAAGAUGAGCAUGCGUCCCAUUAGCUAGAUGGUAAGGUAACGGCUUACCAUGGCUACGAUGGGUAGGGGUCCUGAGAGGGAGAUCCCCCACACUGGUACUGAGACACGGACCAGACUCCUACGGGAGGCAGCAGUGAGGAAUAUUGGACAAUGGGCGCAAGCCUGAUCCAGCCAUGCCGCGUGCAGGAAGAAGCAUCUAUGGUGUGUAAACUGCUUUUGUACGGGAAGAAACACCUCUACGUGUAGAGGCUUGACGGUACCGUAAGAAUAAGGAUCGGCUAACUCCGUGCCAGCAGCCGCGGUAAUACGGAGGAUCCAAGCGUUAUCCGGAAUCAUUGGGUUUAAAGGGUCCGUAGGCGGUUUGGUAAGUCAGUGGUGAAAGCCCAUCGCUUAACGAUGGAACGGCCAUUGAUACUGCCAGACUUGAAUUACUGGGAAGUAACUAGAAUAUGUAGUGUAGCGGUGAAAUGCUUAGAUAUUACAUGGAAUACCAAUUGCGAAGGCAGGUUACUACCAGUGGAUUGACGCUGAUGGACGAAAGCGUGGGGAGCGAACAGGA
rnacentral:rRNA from 1 species